rnacentral:rRNA from 1 species
GCGGAGGGAUCAUUACCGAGUUUACAACUCCCAAACCCCUGUGAACAUACCUUAAUGUUGCCUCGGCGGAUCAGCCCGCGCCCCGUAAAACGGGACGGCCCGCCAGAGGACCCAAACUCUAAUGUUUCUUAUUGUAACUUCUGAGUAAAACAAACAAAUAAAUCAAAACUUUCAACAACGGAUCUCUUGGUUCUGGCAUCGAUGAAGAACGCAGCAAAAUGCGAUAAGUAAUGUGAAUUGCAGAAUUCAGUGAAUCAUCGAAUCUUUGAACGCACAUUGCGCCCGCUGGUAUUCCGGCGGGCAUGCCUGUUCGAGCGUCAUUUCAACCCUCAAGCCCCCGGGUUUGGUGUUGGGGAUCGGCUCUGCCCUUCUGGGCGGUGCCGCCCCCGAAAUACAUUGGCGGUCUCGCUGCAGCCUCCAUUGCGUAGUAGCUAACACCUCGCAACUGGAACGCGGCGCGGCCAUGCCGUAAAACCCCAACUUCUGAAUGUUGACCUCGGAUCAGGUAGGAAUACCCGCUGAACUUAAGCAUAU